rnacentral:misc_RNA from 1 species
GAAAUGCGAUAAGUAAUGUGAAUUGCAGAAUUCAGUGAAUCAUCGAAUCUUUGAACGCACAUUGCGCCCGCCAGUAUUCUGGCGGGCAUGCCUGUUCGAGCGUCAUUUCAACUAUCAAGCCCCCGGCUUGUGUUGGGGACCUGCGGCUGCCCGCAGGCCCUGAAAAACAGUGGCGGGCUCGCUGUCACACCGAGCGUAGUAGCAUACAUUCUCGCUCAGGGCGUGCUGCGGGUUCCGGCCGUUAAACGACCUUCAUAACCCAAGGUUGACCUCGGAUCAGGUAGGAAGACCCGCUGAACUUAAGC